rnacentral:rRNA from 1 species
UACGAAGGGGGCUAGCGUUGCUCGGAAUUACUGGGCGUAAAGCGCACGUAGGCGGCUCUUUAAGUCGGGGUGAAAUCCUGGAGCUCAACUCCAGAACUGCCUUCGAUACUGUAGAGCUUGAGUUCGGGAGAGGUGAGUGGAACUGCGAGUGUAGAGGUGAAAUUCGUAGAUAUUCGCAAGAACACCAGUGGCGAAGGCGGCUCACUGGCCCGAUACUGACGCUGAGGUGCGAAAGCGUGGGAGCAACAGG